AGGUUGCAACUGGUGAACAAUGAGGAGUUGUUGCACAAGAAUGACCUGCUGAAUUGCAGGUUUUGUCAUGACUUGAUGUAGAGUCGGCAUGGGUUUUUUUGCAUUGCAGGUUUGUAAGACAUGGCUUCGCACUUAUCAAUUAGGUGUGGCCUAUGAACAUAGAUGAUUGGCUCAUGAUAUGUUUGGUGUUGCAGGUACAAGACUAGUGUGUAUGGCUUGCUGCAUUUGUGACUUGGU